rnacentral:rRNA from 1 species
GGUUAAGCGACUAAGCGUACACGGUGGAUGCCCUGGCAGUCAGAGGCGAUGAAGGACGUGCUAAUCUGCGAUAAGCGUCGGUAAGGUGAUAUGAACCGUUAUAACCGGCGAUUUCCGAAUGGGGAAACCCAGUGUGAUUCGUCACACUAUCAUUAACUGAAUCCAUAGGUUAAUGAGGCGAACCGGGGGAACUGAAACAUCUAAGUACCCCGAGGAAAAGAAAUCAACCGAGAUUCCCCCAGUAGCGGCGAGCGAACGGGGAGCAGCCCAGAGCCUGAAUCAGUGUGUGUGUUAGUGGAAGCGUCUGGAAAGGCGCGCGAUACAGGGUGACAGCCCCGUACACAAAAAUGCACAUGCUGUGAGCUCGAUGAGUAGGGCGGGACACGUGGUAUCCUGUCUGAAUAUGGGGGGACCAUCCUCCAAGGCUAAAUACUCCUGACUGACCGAUAGUGAACCAGUACCGUGAGGGAAAGGCGAAAAGAACCCCGGCGAGGGGAGUGAAAAAGAACCUGAAACCGUGUACGUACAAGCAGUGGGAGCACGCUUAGGCGUGUGACUGCGUACCUUUUGUAUAAUGGGUCAGCGACUUAUAUUCUGUAGCAAGGUUAACCGAAUAGGGGAGCCGAAGGGAAACCGAGUCUUAACUGGGCGUUAAGUUGCAGGGUAUAGACCCGAAACCCGGUGAUCUAGCCAUGGGCAGGUUGAAGGUUGGGUAACACUAACUGGAGGACCGAACCGACUAAUGUUGAAAAAUUAGCGGAUGACUUGUGGCUGGGGGUGAAAGGCCAAUCAAACCGGGAGAUAGCUGGUUCUCCCCGAAAGCUAUUUAGGUAGCGCCUCGUGAAUUCAUCUCCGGGGGUAGAGCACUGUUUCGGCAAGGGGGUCAUCCCGACUUACCAACCCGAUGCAAACUGCGAAUACCGGAGAAUGUUAUCACGGGAGACACACGGCGGGUGCUAACGUCCGUCGUGAAGAGGGAAACAACCCAGACCGCCAGCUAAGGUCCCAAAGUCAUGGUUAAGUGGGAAACGAUGUGGGAAGGCCCAGACAGCCAGGAUGUUGGCUUAGAAGCAGCCAUCAUUUAAAGAAAGCGUAAUAGCUCACUGGUCGAGUCGGCCUGCGCGGAAGAUGUAACGGGGCUAAACCAUGCACCGAAGCUGCGGCAGCGACGCUUAUGCGUUGUUGGGUAGGGGAGCGUUCUGUAAGCCUGCGAAGGUGUGCUGUGAGGCAUGCUGGAGGUAUCAGAAGUGCGAAUGCUGACAUAAGUAACGAUAAAGCGGGUGAAAAGCCCGCUCGCCGGAAGACCAAGGGUUCCUGUCCAACGUUAAUCGGGGCAGGGUGAGUCGACCCCUAAGGCGAGGCCGAAAGGCGUAGUCGAUGGGAAACAGGUUAAUAUUCCUGUACUUGGUGUUACUGCGAAGGGGGGACGGAGAAGGCUAUGUUGGCCGGGCGACGGUUGUCCCGGUUUAAGCGUGUAGGCUGGUUUUCCAGGCAAAUCCGGAAAAUCAAGGCUGAGGCGUGAUGACGAGGCACUACGGUGCUGAAGCAACAAAUGCCCUGCUUCCAGGAAAAGCCUCUAAGCAUCAGGUAACAUCAAAUCGUACCCCAAACCGACACAGGUGGUCAGGUAGAGAAUACCAAGGCGCUUGAGAGAACUCGGGUGAAGGAACUAGGCAAAAUGGUGCCGUAACUUCGGGAGAAGGCACGCUGAUAUGUAGGUGAGGUCCCUCGCGGAUGGAGCUGAAAUCAGUCGAAGAUACCAGCUGGCUGCAACUGUUUAUUAAAAACACAGCACUGUGCAAACACGAAAGUGGACGUAUACGGUGUGACGCCUGCCCGGUGCCGGAAGGUUAAUUGAUGGGGUUAGCGCAAGCGAAGCUCUUGAUCGAAGCCCCGGUAAACGGCGGCCGUAACUAUAACGGUCCUAAGGUAGCGAAAUUCCUUGUCGGGUAAGUUCCGACCUGCACGAAUGGCGUAAUGAUGGCCAGGCUGUCUCCACCCGAGACUCAGUGAAAUUGAACUCGCUGUGAAGAUGCAGUGUACCCGCGGCAAGACGGAAAGACCCCGUGAACCUUUACUAUAGCUUGACACUGAACAUUGAGCCUUGAUGUGUAGGAUAGGUGGGAGGCUUUGAAGUGUGGACGCCAGUCUGCAUGGAGCCGACCUUGAAAUACCACCCUUUAAUGUUUGAUGUUCUAACGUUGACCCGUAAUCCGGGUUGCGGACAGUGUCUGGUGGGUAGUUUGACUGGGGCGGUCUCCUCCUAAAGAGUAACGGAGGAGCACGAAGGUUGGCUAAUCCUGGUCGGACAUCAGGAGGUUAGUGCAAUGGCAUAAGCCAGCUUGACUGCGAGCGUGACGGCGCGAGCAGGUGCGAAAGCAGGUCAUAGUGAUCCGGUGGUUCUGAAUGGAAGGGCCAUCGCUCAACGGAUAAAAGGUACUCCGGGGAUAACAGGCUGAUACCGCCCAAGAGUUCAUAUCGACGGCGGUGUUUGGCACCUCGAUGUCGGCUCAUCACAUCCUGGGGCUGAAGUAGGUCCCAAGGGUAUGGCUGUUCGCCAUUUAAAGUGGUACGCGAGCUGGGUUUAGAACGUCGUGAGACAGUUCGGUCCCUAUCUGCCGUGGGCGCUGGAGAACUGAGGGGGGCUGCUCCUAGUACGAGAGGACCGGAGUGGACGCAUCACUGGUGUUCGGGUUGUCAUGCCAAUGGCACUGCCCGGUAGCUAAAUGCGGAAGAGAUAAGUGCUGAAAGCAUCUAAGCACGAAACUUGCCCCGAGAUGAGUUCUCCCUGACCCUUUAAGGGUCCUGAAGGAACGUUGAAGACGACGACGUUGAUAGGCCGGGUGUGUAAGCGCAGCGAUGCGUUGAGCUAACCGGUACUAAUGAACCGUGAGGCUUAACCUU